rnacentral:rRNA from 1 species
CGUGCAGGCGGUUUGGUUAGUUGGACGUGAAAGCUCCUGGCUCAACUGGGAGAGGUCGUUCAAUACUGCCAGACUAGAGGAUGGUAGAGGGAGGUGGAAUUCCGGGUGUAGUGGUGGAAUACGCAGAUAUCCGGAGGAACACCAGUGGCGAAAGCGGCCUCCUGGACCAUUCCUGACGCUCAGACGCGAAAGCUAGGGUAGCAAACG